UAGAUAGUAAAACAUUAUUUAUUCCUUUUAUAAAUCAUUUUGCUGGCUGAAGUAAGUUUUUACUUUAUAAAGUAAAUCCAAUUACUUACCUAAGGGGACAUCCCAGAUUGGAUUUUCCUCUUCUGAUGAAUCAAGGCUUUCAUCACGUGCACAAUCUUCUAAAUCCAUGUUUAUUUGCACGUUUGAGUUGUCUGGGGUUGUAGCAUGUUUGGUCCAAGCUCCAUCACGAAAAAACAUUUGUCACGUCUGUAAGUUACACAACAUCGUUUGAAAACUUUUGUUUCCAGCCAAUGUAACGUUAUGUGUGCAUGUAUUAAAGCGUUUUUCAUUCAAUGUUACAGGAAGCUGUAAGGCGCCUUCACAAUUCGGAAAACAACCCACAUAAAUAUGAUCCACAAACUGGGUAAGACUGCUGUUUUUCUGCUAUGUUUAUUUGGCCUUUGUGGGCCAUGCUGUUUAUGGGGUUUUACAUAUUCCUUUUAAAUGUAUUUAAUGACACACUUCUCUCUUUCCACACAGAAUAAGUUUGCCUCGUAACCAAGCAGUCAUGACUUAUCUGCUAGAGGAAUUGAAAACAACUUUUGCAGAUGCAGACCCUGAGUGUAUACAAGCGUGUUGCAAGACAUACUUUGAAACACUUCGGAGAAAGUACAAUUUGUCUCAGCCAGAAAAGUCCCAGCUAAGAGAUGCCAUUAAAACAGGAGCUAAAAACCGACAAAGGAAAAGACGGUUGCUGGAUUCCAGGUCCAAGGUUGUUCAAACCGAUGCAGAGAGAGAGCUUUGGCAGACUGCAACAGUGGAGCUGAUGUCUGACGAGGAGGAUGCCAUUGUUGAUGGAAGGCCAGUGUGGAUUGUGAGGUCUCCAUCUCACAGGAACCCACAAUUGUCAGAACUUUGUGAGGAGCUUCAGCGCAGAUUGGAGGCAGACAUGCGCUACACUAUUUUGCAUCAUCAGCGUGUUAAGGCUGAUGGAAAUGGACAUGAUGGACCUUCCUUUCUUCAACUUUAACUAAACUGCACUGGUUUUUGCAAUUUUUAAUA
ensembl:lncRNA